rnacentral:rRNA from 1 species
CCCUUGUACACACCGCCCGUCACACCAUGGAAGUGGGUUGUACCAGAAGUAGGUAGAAUAACCGCAAGGGGUUCGCUUACCACGGUAUGAUUCAUGACUGGGGUG